rnacentral:rRNA from 1 species
CAGCAGCCACGGUAAUACAGAGGAUGCAAGCGUUAUCCGGAAUUACUGGGCGUAAAGCGGGCGCAGACGGUUACUUAAGCAGGAUGUGAAAUCCCCGGGCUCAACCUGGGAACUGCGUUCUGAACUGGGUGACUAGAGUGUGUCAGAGGGAGGUAGAAUUCCACGUGUAGCAGUGAAAUGCGUAGAGAUGUGGAGGAAUACCGAUGGCGAAGGCAGCCUCCUGGGAUAACACUGACGUUCAUGCCCGAAAGCGUGGGUAGCAAACAGGAUUAGAUACCCCGGUAGUCCCUGUCUCUUAUAC